GCCUUCCCAGUGAAACCCGGAAGCUGCGCCUUCGCGGUUCCCAGCUCAUCCUAGCUGGGUAAAUUGUUUUUAAAUACAAUGGGGCUUGCCAGAGGCUCCAAACAGCAUCUCUACCUGCUGACACCUCAAUUACCAUCGGUUCUGCUGGAUCAUAUGGUCCAAGUGGUAGAGCAGCCUGGACCUGUUGAAGAGCCUUCUCCUGUUCCAGGACCCACACAAAGCUAGCAGCUUUCUGAGUCACUUGGUAAACAGGCCUGAUUAACACACCUAAGUGAGGAACAUGCUGUCUCCAGAAUCCAAAUAGAUCCCACUAAAAGUUGUGCUUCUUUCUUGGUGGUGGGAGGGGCCAGGUGCAAUAACUUAUCUUUCACCUUAGAAGAAAUAUCUCUGUAUGCCCCAUACCACUGUACUCCUAAGAAUUUCACUGAGAUAAAUGGUCCUUGAAUUUUGGUUG